UCUGCACUAAACCCUAAUUUAACAUCUGGCAUCCCAUGGAAAUAAAUUUUCCACCCAUCUCCUUCAACACUAGAAGGCACAAUCCAUCUUUCAGAUAGUGCCAACAGAUAUAAAAGAGACAAAGUAAUUGUAAAAUUCUGAGCAUCACAA